rnacentral:rRNA from 1 species
AUUAAAAUUAUCUUAANUGUAAAAAGACAUUUAUAAAAAAAAAAGACNAUAAAACCCUAUUGAACUUAACUUUAGUUUAACUGGGGCAGUUAAUUAAUUAUUACUUUAAUUUUUUUUAGAAAAAAAAAUAGACCUAAUAUAAUUAACAAUAUAAUUAAGUUACCAUAGGGAUAACAGCGUAAUAGAAUUUUAAAGAUCUUAUUAAAAAUUAAAUUUACGACCUCGAUGUUGAUUUAAUAACCUUAUUAUAUAUAUAUAUAUAUAUAUAUAAACCACGCAAUAGUAAAUAAAGGAAGUCUGUUCGACUUUUAAAAAAUUACAUGAUUUGAGUUCAGACCGGUGUAAACCAGGUCGGUUUCUAUCUUUUAAACCAAUUUCUUCUAGUACGAAAGGACCUAAGAAAUUAUAUUAUUAUAU